rnacentral:siRNA from 1 species
UUAGAGCUAAAUAAACAUUCUC